CCCUAGCCCUGAUGGAAGCGGUAUCCUUUUUAUGGCUUUUUUGCUAUAAAAAGAUUAAGCGUACAGCAGGAAAAAGC
rnacentral:sRNA from 1 species